rnacentral:rRNA from 1 species
GGAAGUUGACGGGGCCCGCACAAGCGGUGGAGCAUGUGGUUUAAUUCGAUGAUACGCGAGGAACCUUACCUGGGCUCAAAUGUAUGUUGACGUAUUCUGAAAGGGAUACUUCUUCGGACAAUAUACAAGGUGCUGCAUGGUUGUCGUCAGCUCGUGCCGUGAGGUGUCGGGUUAAGUCCCAUAACGAGCGCAACCCUAUCAUUAGUUGCCAUCAGGUCAAGCUGGGGACUCUAAUGAAACUGCCUACGCAAGUAGUGAGGAAGGUGGGGAUGACGUCAAAUCAGCACGGCCCUUACGUCCAGGGCUACACACGUGCUACAAUGGCCGGUACAAAGGGCAGCUACCUGGUGACAGGAUGCAAAUCUCCAAAGUCGGUCUCAGUUCGGAUCGGAGUCUGCAACCCGACUCCGUGAAGUUGGAUUCGCUAGUAAUCGCGCAUCAGCCAUGGCGCGGUGAAUACGUUCCCGGGCCUU